rnacentral:rRNA from 1 species
CCUAGGGGCGGCAGCAGUGGGGAAUAUUGCACAAUGGGGGAAACCCUGAUGCAGCGACGCCGCGUGAGUGAAGAAGUAAUUCGUUAUGUAAAGCUCUAUCAGUAGGGAAGAAAAUGACGGUACCUGAGUAAGAAGCCCCGGCCAACUACGUGCCAGCAGCCGUGGUAAGACGGAGGGGGCAAGCGUUAUCCGGAUUUACUGGGUGUAAAGGGAGCGUAGACGGGAGUGCAAGUCUGGAGUGAAAGGCGGGGGCUCAACCUCCGGACUGCUCUGGAAACUGUAUGGCUGGAGUGCAGGAGAGGUAAGUGGAAUUCCUGGUGUAGCGGUGAAAUGCGUAGAUAUUAGGAAGAACACCGGUGGCGAAGGCAGCUUACUGGACUGUAACUGACGUUGAGGCUCGAAAGCGUGGGGAGCAAACAGGAUUAGAUACCCUUGUAGUC